rnacentral:lncRNA from 1 species
AUGGGGAUCAUUUGGCCUACGAGAACUGGCCCGAUUCAAAGAGCUGUUGGACAGGCCUGUCACAUUGAAGCCUGAUGGGCCCGAUAAUGAAGAUAGGACUAAGUAGUCUUAGAAGUUCUAAUUGUACACAGCUUCUAAUUCUGUAAAGUUAGAGUCCUAAUUGAAUACAGCUUUUAAUUGUAGCCAUCGGUUUUGGGGGAGCUCAACUAUAAAUAGAGAGCCUCCCCCUCGUUUGUACUCACUCCUGAAUUGUUUCAUUAUUCUUUGUGAAUAAGAAUUGAGAGCAUUUACUCAAACUUUUCUCUCAAGCGUUCUUGCUUUUGUUCAUCUUUCAAAGAUCGUUCUUAAUUCGUUCUUCCGCUGUUCUUCAUGGAAACUUUAAGGGAAUUCUGUUGAAUCCUUUAUUGUUGCGAGUUGAGCUGACUUAGGCGUUUUUACGGUUGAAUCCAUUAUUGGUGGAAGUUAGGCUGACUUAGGCGUUUUUAAGCCAAGAAACUGCCUAAGGCCGCACGGAUGUGUGGGAAAACUCCAAGUCCGUGACAAGUGGUAUCCGAGCCAAGGUUUGAACCAAGUAAUAUUCGAGUUGUUGGUUCAAAGGCACCGUUGGGAUGUCAAAAGAAGAGUUUGAACAAAGGUGGGCGAGGAAGUCUUUGAGGGAGACAAUAUCGGCAGUAGAACGUGUGGGUAAACUCGAGGGAUCCAUGGAGGAUGUAAAGGAGGCACUUGAUGGGGUCGAGGAUCGCAUAACAAACUGGGAGGAGCAGUCCAGAGACUAUGUAAAGAUGUCUCUUGAUUCCACCAUGGACAAGGUAAACGAGUUGUUUAAUUCACACAGGGAUUAGCUGUCGGAAAGGAAUGAUGCUCUCGAGGCCAUGAUGAUGGCUUUGAAGGAGGAAACAAUGGCCACGACGAAGGCUUUGAGCACAAGAAUAGAGGAGCUCGAGGGAGAGCUGUCCUUGUGUCAAGCAGCCGUGGGGAAAGGAGUGGCAAAUGCAGCACUCAGUAAUGAGGAUGUCCCAAAGCCGAAAGAGUUUGUGGGGACAAGGUCUGCAUGUGAUGUGGACAAUUUCUUGUGGAGGAUGGAAAACUACUUCCGUGCCAAAGGCAUCAUGGAAGAUGCGGUUAAGGUAAACACUGCUUCAAUGUUUCUUUCUGACAUUGCGCUUUUAUGGUGGCGAGGUAGGACCACAGAUAAAAGGCAAGGUGAGAUUGGGACAUGGCAAGAGUUCCAAUGCGAGUUGAAGGGACAGUUUUACCCAGAAUUUGCCGAGGAAGAAGCUCAGGCAAAGUUGCAAGAGAUAAUGCAACGGGGCACAGUGAGGGAGUAUGUUCAAGAGUUCAAGGAACUCAUGCUCCAAAUUUCAGAUGUGACUGAUGAAGAAGCAUUGCUUGCUUUUCAAAAGGGAUUGAAGCCGUGGGUCAGACAGGAGGUGGAACAAAGAGGUGUCCAAAAAUUGUCGGAAGCCAUGACGGUAGUUGAGUCCGUGGUGAAGCUUGGUCUAGGGAAAGACAAGCUUGGGUCUUCCAAGUCCGAUGGAAGGGGCGUAUGUGAAAUGGAUCACAAGGAAGAUAGAGUUAAUGGCAAUGACAACGGCGACAAUGGUGGUAAUGGGAAACCACGAGUUGGGAAGAAGAAACCCAAGAGGAAAAGGGACAAGCUAAAAUGCUUUCUCUGCGACGGUCCACACAUGUUGAAGAAAUGUUUGAAGAAAUCCACGCUUAAGGAGAAGCCGGUGGGUAAGGCCUUGGUACUUGGUUCGAGCGCAAGGGGUGUCAAAGCCAAGGAGGCCGAAAGCGAGAAGAAGCCAGUGGAGUGCUUCUUGUGUCAUGGUCCGCAUAGGUUGCGGAAGAGUCUGAAGAAGUCUGUCAUCGAGGGGAACGAUGGAGCAGACAAUGAGCCCAAGAAGCUUGGUUCGAGCAAGGGAAAAGCCGAAGCCAAGAGGGCAAAGAGGAGCAAAAAGAAGCAAGUUAAGUGCUUCUUGUGCCGUGGUCCGCAUGAGUUGCGGAACUGUCCAAAGCAAGCCGGAGUCGAAAGAAACGCAACGUCUGAGCUUGGUGAGUCGUCGAAGGGGCUUCCACCCAAGGAAGAGGUGAGUUUGUCAUCUAACUUAGCGGAUAAAGUUGCGAUGAAAACAGUGAAGCUGGGACCAAUGAGGCUCAAGUUGAGUGAAGUAUCAGAGUUAGCCGAGUCAUCGACAAGGCUUCCACCUAUGGGAAAGGUAGGUGGUGCAUCAGACUUUAAAGGAAAAGAAGCGAUGCAUGUGGGACAGUUGACCAGAGUAAAUGCGACGAGCAGGACGGCUCGAGUUAAGAAGCGACAGAAGCCGAGGCAAGAAUCCCAAAGAAAGGGAAAGGCUAAGGCGACGAGACGAGACCGAGGCGAAUCAAGUCAGUGCCAUUCAGAAGUCGCAACGAGGGCGUUGCGAGAAUGGGUGGGGGAGAAUGUCACGGACCGCAGUUCAAAGCCCGUGACAAGCGCACCAAAUGCAUCCAAUGGAGGUCUGCUGCUCAGAUGGGGAUCAUUUGGCCUACGAGAACUGGCCUGAUUCAAAGAGCUGUUGGACAGGCCUGUCACAUUGAAGCCUGAUGGGCCUGAUAAUGAAGAUAGGACUAAGUAGUCUUAGAAGUUCUAAUUGUACACAGCUUCUAAUUCUAUAAAGUUAGAGUCCUAAUUGAAUACAGCUUUUAAUUGUAGCCAUCGGUUUUGGGGGAGCUCAACUAUAAAUAGAGAGCCUCCCCCUC